rnacentral:rRNA from 1 species
CAAUAGCGUAUAUUAAAGUUGUUGCAGUUAAAAAGCUCGUAGUUGGAUUUCUGGUGGGAGCGAUCGGUCUGGCGCUUAGCGCGAGUACUUGCAUCGUCUCCGGCCAUCCUUGGGGAAAGUCUGUCUGGCAUUAAGCUGUCGGGCAGAGGAUCCUCAUCGUUUACUGUGAAAAAAUUAGAGUGUUCAAAGCAGGCUUAUGCCGUUGAAUAUAUUAGCAUGGAAUAAUAAGAUAGGACUUUGGUACUAUUUUGUUGGUUUGCGCACCAAAGUAAUGAUUAAUAGGGACAGUUGGGGGUAUUCGUAUUCCGUUGUCAGAGGUGAAAUUCUUGGAUUUACGGAAGACGAACUACUGCGAAAGCAUUUACCAAGGAUGUUUUCAUUAA